UACAGAGGGUGCGAGCGUUGUUCGGAAUUACUGGGCGUAAAGCGCACGUAGGCGGCUUUGUAAGUUAGAGGUGAAAGCCCAGGGCUUAACCCUGGAAUUGCCUUUAAGACUGCAUCGCUAGAAUCGUGGAGAGGUGAGUGGAAUUCCGAGUGUAGAGGUGAAAUUCGUAGAUAUUCGGAAGAACACCAGUGGCGAAGGCGACUCACUGGACACGUAUUGACGCUGAGGUGCGAAAGCGUGGGGAGCAACAGG
rnacentral:rRNA from 1 species